GGGUGGAAAGCAGCUUCUCCUGCGCUGUUGCCACAGCAGCAAUUACAGAUCUCUGGAAAGGAGCUGAGGGAAUUCAUUGAAAUCCUCUUUUGAUAUAAAACAAAAGCAGAGGAUCUGCCUGAGCUGGGCUGAGGAGCUCCCUGUUUGUGUGGGAACCUCUCCUGGAGCAUGGUGGGGCCCUGGGGGAGUGUGGCCAAGGCUUGGAGCAGAACUUUGGGGGACACCUGGAGCCGUGGGAGAUGUUUGCAUGGAAUUUCACAGAUUUCUGUGGGAAAGGGCAACCUGGGCACCUGGGGGUGCCCAUUCCCACCCUGCAGAGAGGCUCAGGGGCCCACCCCAGCUCCCCAAGUCCAGCGACACUCGGGGCCGGGCGUGCAGGGGACAAUGGGGACAGCACCGACCCUGCUGCUGGACUGGGGAGCCAGGGGAGCUGGGCUGGGCUGCACCUGCCCAGGUGUCACCUCCUGCUCAGCCACUGCCAGGCUGGACCCGCCUGGCAGCCUGGGGGAGUUUGGGGUUUGGAGCACUGAAGAAGGGAAAUCCUGCACCCCAAAACCAGCAAGAGUGCCACGGCUUUAGGGCUGGGUGGUUACAGGAGCUGCCGCCUCAUCCUUUGAGUGACCAGGGGUCGGAGUUGGGUUCCCACAGAGCUCAUCCCAUGCCUGAGCCCCAUCCCAAAGGAUCUCAGCUCCUUCAGGAUUCCUUUGCUUUGCUGCGUGUUCCAAAGAGCCCCCCCCAUUCCUUCCCCUACUCUCCUUCUCCUGAGCCAGAGCUGUCUGCAGUCCCCAGGACACAUUAAUUCCUCUUCUGUAUCUAUUUAUGUGGAAAAAUAACAGCAAUGAGCUGGAUGUGGGAUGCACUGGUGGAGGUGGCUGGGCUGUAACUCAGGCUGCUCUGAGAUGCUUUACAGUUCCUCUGGAAUUGAUGGGAUGUCUGAAUUCCAGGUCAUUCACAUGGCUGGAAUGUCACAUCUGUUUGCAGGAAUUGCUCUCUGGGUCCCACAAAACCCAGCUCCGGAUUUACUUUUUGUAAAUCACUCCUUUAUCCUGAUUUACCCCAAGAAAAUCUUUGAUUCCCAUCUUUUCACAAGCACCAAACUGAAUUAGUGGAGCUGGGAGAAAACACAGACAAUACAAUGGAGCAGGGAACGGCUGUGCUGUUUGCUGGCAAUGGGAAUAAUGGGAUUGGCCCUGGCAUUGAGGAGCUAAAGGAGACUCCAGUCCUGCUGCAAGGGAGAGAUCAUUUGUGUUUAUCCAUUUGCUGGGUGUUUUGUGGGAUUUUAGAGCGUUUUGUAUUCCUGGAUUUCCCUUUGUAUCCCAAAGCUUGGCAAGCAAAUUAGAAACAUGAAGAGAGAAUAACUCGGUCACAGAUUUGGGAUUUCAGCUGUUCAGAGUCCCAGGAAAGGUGCAGGAGGGGAAAACAAUCCGUCUCUUUUCAUGCCUGAAGGCAGGAGCUGCUCAAGGGCAAUUUCUGUGGUUUUCCUUGAUAGAAAAAAGGACAUUUCCCCAUUUCUGAGCCCAAAAAUCUGCUGCUUCUUGUGGCUGUCUCCAAGUCACCUCCAUGACUGGAUCCUCCUGGAGCUGCCAAACCCUUUCCUUGCCCCACUCUGAGUUAUCCCCCAGUGAGUGCAGCAAAAGGAAGGAGUUACCCUGUUCCUCAUCACAGCUCCUCCAGAAGUGCCUCGGGAUUCAAUCCCUGCUGUGCUCAGAGCUGCAGGAAAAGCUGCAGCACACAGCUCCUGCUCCUGGGAACUGCCCUUCCCAGCCCCUGUGGCCAUCCUGACAAAUGAGCUUUCGGGUUAACCAGGAUUUGUUCCUAACAAGGGAGGCUUUGGUUGGACAUUGGGAAACUCUUCUGUCAUGGGGCUGUGAAAUGCUGGAAUGAAGUGCCUGGGAAUGGGGGAAAACAGCAUCCCUGGACUUGUGCAGGAUGGACUGGGGUGAGCAUCCCUCGGGAAGGAGCAGCCUGGAUGGGUCUUUCCCUGGCAAAGCCAAGACCCUGAGAGCCAGGAUUUUGUGUUGUGUUAAUGCCUGCUGUGAUACACCCCUGGGGAUGUCCUUUAUGGGGAUGGGACACCCAGGGAUGUCCUUUGUCCUUGACCCCGCCCCUGACUUCCCAGCAACAGGCCAGGCCUGGCUGAGCCAGGUUUACCAGAGCCACGUCCAGCCUUUCCCCAUGCAGCAGAACACCACAAAUUUCACUUUUUGCUCUGUGCUUACAAUUUACUCAGCAGAUCCUUGUCUGUUUCCAUGUCCUGCAUCCUAAAUUCAGUCUCCAGAGUAAAAUCUCAGUCCCAAUCCCUGGAUGUUCAUGGGCAAAGGCAAACCCACCAAGCAGCACAAUUCCCAUCCCAACAGAUCUGCUAAAAUAAUCCCUCCUGCCCCCUCUCCUUUGUGUUCCUGCAUGGGGAUAUGGGGAUGCUCCACAGCCUGGGAGGGGACUCAUCCCCCAGCACUGCACUAGUGAUGAUUACAAUAAUAAUAAU